rnacentral:snoRNA from 1 species
UCCUUUUCAGGGUCACACCUGGAGAGUUUCCAGUCCUCUACCAGUCUCAACUACAGGAGGAAGGGUCAAGCAGAGGCAUAUCCAUUCCAUUCCUAGUUUGGGCAGUGGCUAGCAAGUGGAAGGCACUCUGCUACAAGU